AGAACGAACGCUGGCGGCAUGCCUAAUACAUGCAAGUCGAACGAGCACUUCGGUGUUAGUGGCGCACGGGUGCGUAACGCGUGGGAAUCUGCCCUUGGGUUCGGAAUAACAGUUGGAAACGACUGCUAAUACCGGAUGAUAUCGAAAGAUCAAAGAUUUAUCGCCCAGGGAUGAGCCCGCGUAGGAUUAGCUAGUUGGUGAGGUAAAGGCUCACCAAGGCGACGAUCCUUAGCUGGUCUGAGAGGAUGAUCAGCCACACUGGGACUGAGACACGGCCCAGACUCCUACGGGAGGCAGCAGUAGGGAAUAUAGGACAAUGGGCGCAAGCCUGAUCCAGCAAGUGACCGCGUGAGUGA
rnacentral:rRNA from 1 species